rnacentral:miRNA from 8 species
ACAUAGGGUUCAAAGCCAUUGG